rnacentral:rRNA from 1 species
CGUUUGAGGGGUACCUGCGGAGGGAUCAUUACACAACAAAAAUAUGAGGGUGUGGUUUGCUGGCAACAGCGUCCGCCCCAAGUAUUUUUCACCCAUGUCUUUUGCGCACUUUUUGUUUCCUGGGCGAGUUCGCUCGCCACCAGGACCCAACCAUAAACCUUUUUUUAUGCAGUUGCAAUCAGCGUCAGUAUAAUAAUUCAAUUUAUUAAAACUUUCAACAACGGAUCUCUUGGUUCUGGCAUCGAUGAAGAACGCAGCGAAAUGCGAUACGUAGUGUGAAUUGCAGAAUUCAGUGAAUCAUCGAAUCUUUGAACGCACAUUGCGCCCUUUGGUAUUCCAAAGGGCAUGCCUGUUCGAGCGUCAUUUGUACCCUCAAGCUUUGCUUGGUGUUGGGCGUCUUUUUGUCUCUCCCCUUGUUGGGGGAGACUCGCCUUAAAACGAUUGGCAGCCGACCUACUGGUUUUCGGAGCGCAGCACAAAUUUGCGCCUUCCAAUCCACGGGGCGGCAUCCAGCAAGCCUUUGUUUUCUAUAACAAAUCCACAUUUUGACCUCGGAUCAGGUAGGGAUACCCGCUGAACUUAAGCAUAUCAAAAC